UGACGAGUUUGAUCCUGGCUCAGAUUGAACGCUGGCGGAAUGCUUUACACAUGCAAGUCGAACGGUAGAGGGGGCAACCCCUUGAGAGUGGCGAACGGGUGAGUAAUAUAUCGGAACGUGCCCAGUCGUGGGGGAUAAACGUAGCGAAAGUUACGCUAAUACCGCAUACGAUCUAAGGAUGAAAGCGGGGACUCGCAAGACCUCGCGCGAUUGGAGCGGCCGAUAUCAGAUUAGGUAGUUGGUGAGGU
rnacentral:rRNA from 1 species